rnacentral:lncRNA from 1 species
UCAGUGUCUAGCCACUAGGUUGGUGAACAUGUUUGCUCGACUCUGCAAUCUUUUUGGGAGAGCCAGUGUGGAUGGGAGAGAGACCAGAGAGAGGAGGAAGGGUGCUGGCCUUCCAUCUGAGAGUAAUGAAGGACGAAGGAGGUGGACUUGGAGAAUGUGGAGGGCUCGAAGACACCCAUCAUCCACUGCACCUGUCCUAAGUAAGAAGGAGUUCAAAAAGGAAAAAGAGAGGCUGACCACAGAGCUGGACCUCCUCAUCCAGCUGAGAAAUGAGCAGAGAGAUCACCUGAUCGAUUUCAAAGAGAGUUCCAAUUACAAUAGGACCAAGCCCACCCAGAA